AUUGAACGCUGGCGGCAGGCCUAACACAUGCAAGUCGAGCGGAAACGACACUAACAAUCCUUCGGGUGCGUUAAUGGGCGUCGAGCGGCGGACGGGUGAGUAAUGCCUAGGAAAUUGCCUUGAUGUGGGGGAUAACCAUUGGAAACGAUGGCUAAUACCGCAUAAUGCCUACGGGCCAAAGAGGGGGAUCUUCGGACCUCUCGCGUCAAGAUAUGCCUAGGUGGGAUUAGCUAGUUGGUGAGGUAAUGGCUCACCAAGGCGACGAUCCCUAGCUGGUCUGAGAGGAUGAUCAGCCACACUGGAACUGAGACACGGUCCAG
rnacentral:rRNA from 1 species